GAUGAACGCUGGCGGCGUGCCUAAUACAUGCAAGUCGAGCGAACAGAUGAGGAGCUUGCUCCUUUGACGUUAGCGGCGGACGGGUGAGUAACACGUGGGUAACCUACCUAUAAGACUGGGAUAACUUCGGGAAACCGGAGCUAAUACCGGAUAAUAUUUCGAACCGCAUGGCUCGAUAGUGAAAGAUGGCUUUGCUAUCACUUAUAGAUGGACCUGCGCCGUAUUAGCUAGUUGGUAAGGUAACGGCUUACCAAGGCAACGAUACGUAGCCGACCUGAGAGGGUGAUCGGCCACACUGGAACUGAGACACGGUCCAGACUCCUACGGGAGGCAGCAGUAGGGAAUCUUCCGCAAUGGGCGAAAGCCUGACGGAGCAACGCCGCGUGAGUGAUGAAGGUCUUCGGAUCGUAAAACUCUGUUAUUAGGGAAGAACAAACGUGUAAGUAACUGUGCACGUCUUGACGGUACCUAAUCAGAAAGCCACGGCUAACUACGUGCCAGCAGCCGCGGUAAUACGUAGGUGGCAAGCGUUAUCCGGAAUUAUUGGGCGUAAAGCGCGCGUAGGCGGUUUUUUAAGUCUGAUGUGAAAGCCCACGGCUCAACCGUGGAGGGUCAUUGGAAACUGGAAAACUUGAGUGCAGAAGAGGAAAGUGGAAUUCCAUGUGUAGCGGUGAAAUGCGCAGAGAUAUGGAGGAACACCAGUGGCGAAGGCGACUUUCUGGUCUGUAACUGAUGCUGAUGUGCGAAAGCGUGGGGAUCAAACAGGAUUAGAUACCCUGGUAGUCCACGCCGUAAACGAUGAGUGCUAAGUGUUAGGGGGUUUCCGCCCCUUAGUGCUGCAGCUAACGCAUUAAGCACUCCGCCUGGGGAGUACGACCGCAAGGUUGAAACUCAAAGGAAUCGACGGGGACCCGCACAAGCGGUGGAGCAUGUGGUUUAAUUCGAAGCAACGCGAAGAACCUUACCAAAUCUUGACAUCCUUUGACCCUUCUAGAGAUAGAAGUUUCCCCUUCGGGGGACAAAGUGACAGGUGGUGCAUGGUUGUCGUCAGCUCGUGUCGUGAGAUGUUGGGUUAAGUCCCGCAACGAGCGCAACCCUUAAGCUUAGUUGCCAUCAUUAAGUUGGGCACUCUAAGUUGACUGCCGGUGACAAACCGGAGGAAGGUGGGGAUGACGUCAAAUCAUCAUGCCCCUUAUGAUUUGGGCUACACACGUGCUACAAUGGACAAUACAAAGGGCAGCGAAACCGCGAGGUCAAGCAAAUCCCAUAAAGUUGUUCUCAGUUCGGAUUGUAGUCUGCAACUCGACUACAUGAAGCUGGAAUCGCUAGUAAUCGUAGAUCAGCAUGCUACGGUGAAUACGUUCCCGGGUCU
rnacentral:rRNA from 1 species